ACAAUGAGAUCGGACAUAUAAACACGGAUGGCACUUCCAUCGAUUCAAGUUCUUCAAUCAUCUUUUUAAGAUCCAAUUUCUCAGCGCCGGUUGUGGAAAUCAACCCACCACCACUGCCACCUAAAAUGCCAUCUUUAACGGCAGUUUCCAGAUCUAGCACUUGCCCACCACUAGCCAGAACAUCUAGUUUAACAUUUCCUUCUCUUCUACAACUAUUAGGUAGAUACAUCGGCAUUUUGGAAUACCCUUGAGGAAGAAAGACUAGAACUACUAA
rnacentral:misc_RNA from 1 species